rnacentral:rRNA from 1 species
CCUACGGGAGGCAGCAGUGAGGAAUAUUGGUCAAUGGACGAGAGUCUGAACCAGCCAAGUAGCGUGAAGGAUGACUGCCCGAUGGGUUGUAAACUUCUUGUAUAUGGGAAUAAAAUGUUACACGUGUGGGAUUUUGUAUGUACCAUAUGAAUAAAGAUCGGCUAACUCCGUGCCAGCAGCCGCGGUAAUACGGAGGAUCCGAGCGUUAUCCGGAUUUAUUGGGUUUAAAGGGAGCGUAGGUGGAUUGUUAAGUCAGUUGUGAAAGUUUGCGGCUCAACCGUAAAAUUGCAGUUGAAACUGGCAGUCUUGAGUACAGUAGAGGUGGGCGGAAUUCGUGGUGUAGCGGUGACAUGCUUAGAUAUCACGCAGAACUCCGAUUGCGAAGGCAGUUCACUGGACUGCAACUGACACUGAGGCUCGAAAGUGUGGGUAUCAAACAGGAUUAGAUACCCUUGUAGUC